rnacentral:rRNA from 1 species
AUUGAACGCUGGCGGCAUGCCUUACACAUGCAAGUCGAACGGCAUCGCGGGAAAGCUUGCUUUCCUGGCGGCGAGUGGCGAACGGGUGAGUAACACAUCGGAACGUACCGGCUAGUGGGGGAUAACCCGUCGAAAGACGGGCUAAUACCGCAUACGCUCUUCGGAGGAAAGCAGGGGACCUUUGGGCCUUGCGCUAGCCGAGCGGCCGAUGUCCGAUUAGCUAGUUGGUGGGGUAAAGGCCUACCAAGGCGACGAUCGGUAGCGGGUCUGAGAGGACGAUCCGCCACACUGGGACUGAGACACGGCCCAGACUCCUACGGGAGGCAGCAGUGGGGAAUCUUGGACAAUGGGGGCAACCCUGACCCAGCAAUGCCGCGUGGGUGAAGAAGGCCUUCGGGUUGUAAAGCCCUUUCGGCAGGGAAGAAAUCGGCGGGGCGAAUAACCCUGCUGGAUGACGGUACCUGCAGAAGAAGCACCGGCUAACUACGUG